AUCGUAGGAUUCAUCCUAGGCCUCCACUAUUGAGUUAAAAGGGAAUCCGGUGUGAAUCCGGAGCUGUCGCGCAGCGGUAUGGGGAAAGCAAGGCGAGUGCAUUAAUAUUAUUCUGCAAAACAAAAAUGCAAACACUGUCCUUAAUAAGGAUGGGAAGUUAUCGCCGGGUGUUAAUUCUGUUAAAUAACAAAUCCCAAGCCCGAAGACCUGCCUGAAUUACGUCGCAAUA
rfam:Serratia sp. M24T3 contig020, whole genome shotgun sequence.